AAAUUGAAGAGUUUGAUCAUGGCUCAGAUUGAACGCUGGCGGCAGGCCUAACACAUGCAAGUCGAACGGUAACAGGAAGCAGCUUGCUGCUUUGCUGACGAGUGGCGGACGGGUGAGUAAUGUCUGGGAAACUGCCUGAUGGAGGGGGAUAACUACUGGAAACGGUAGCUAAUACCGCAUAACGUCGCAAGACCAAAGAGGGGGACCUUCGGGCCUCUUGCCAUCGGAUGUGCCCAGAUGGGAUUAGCUUGUUGGUGGGGUAACGGCUCACCAAGGCGACGAUCCCUAGCUGGUCUGAGAGGAUGACCAGCCACACUGGAACUGAGACACGGUCCAGACUCCUACGGGAGGCAGCAGUGGGGAAUAUUGCACAAUGGGCGCAAGCCUGAUGCAGCCAUGCCGCGUGUAUGAAGAAGGCCUUCGGGUUGUAAAGUACUUUCAGCGGGGAGGAAGGGAGUAAAGUUAAUACCUUU
rnacentral:rRNA from 2 species